UAUCCACAUAUCCGAUUUGGAGACAGUUGAUAGAAAUCUUGUUUAGCCUUUUCUGUGUUGAGCAUCUCUUUACUCUCUUGUCCCAGAGCAGAUCAAAGUAGGAUUAAGCAGGCAAGGUUUCUUUGGAUAUAUCACCACAAUCUAAAUUAUUAAUUGUGGCAGUGACCAUGAUAUCAAAGGCUUGUGCAGUAUGGGUAGCGUUUGAUGUGGCAUGUGGUUGUGCACUGUUUAAGGACACUCUAUCAACCUACGAGGGCGAG
rnacentral:lncRNA from 1 species